UCCAGUUGAUUUUCACAGUAAAAUAUAUUACCUGCCCAACUUUCUCUUUCCUUAAGAUCUGGCCACCCCACUCCCAUCCUCAAUCCCUUUGUGUUGUGUAUUGUACAUCUCACCGAGAUAGGAUCCCUGCUCCAUCAGAAGAUGCUCUUUUCUGAGAUUUCCCGGCCAUUGACUGAGAAUAUCCUGGAGCUCUCCAUGGUUACCACCCGCUAUACUCCUGCCAGUAGGACACUGAAAAGAUGAAAAUAGAAGAGCUGAGGAAGAAUCCAUGUGCUGAAUUACCACUGGGAACAUGUAAAAGGAAGAAAAUGUGAAAGACAGGAAAAACUGGAAGUAUUCUUGGGAGGGUUCCACCCUCUCAAGAAAUUAACUCCUGAGGAGGAAGGGCUGAUGACUCUGAUUCCACUUCUAGUGGUUUCUUUACUUUCAGCUUUAGUAUAAAGGACUGUUUCACCACAAAUUGCCACAUAAGCAGGAAAGUCCAGAAUUCACCCAACCCAUGACUCUGCCUUGUCCCUUGGGAAAACAUUCUUCCUCCAUGGGAGAAGCAGCUGGCUCGGGUCUCCAGUUCGGUGUCAUUUAUUACUGGCAUAACAUAUCAGGAGUCUCAGAGUGGGAAGAAGCAUCUAGUCCAAACCAUAUGUAAACCUCUACAACAAUCUCUCUGAAGAGCAGACAUUCAAGUUCAUUCUGAAGACAUCCAUUGAUGCCCCCAAGGCAUUUUUCCACUUCAUUUUUGGGUCCCUAAUUAUCAGGAAGUUUUUCUUUAUACUAAAUCACUCCUCUACUGCAUCUGAGAAGUCUCAGAGGCAAAAUAAAACCAAAACUCACCUUUCAGAGCCUAGCAGAGGAGUAAUCAUCCAAAUGGGCAGCAGAGUCAGAAGGAUGGUGUUUAAAACAAUCAAUGAUGCAGGGCCAUAGUAGGGUUGAGUUUAUUUGGUUUCUAUCAUAAGAAUAAUAUCUAAUUUCAGGGUGAGGAGUAGGAAAGUUGUAUUAAGGCCCUAAAGAUAAAGAUUCAUAGUCCCAAGGAGUUCAGGGCUGAGUAGAACAGCUCCUCCCUAACAUGAUCUCAACAGCUAUAGAGAAUUCUAGUAAAUGUCUAGAAAAAUGGAAGUCCUCCAUCACUUUAUCAUGCUUCUACUCUGGGAUCUAAUCUGGGAUGUGCUUGCCAAAGCUUGCAUCCAUAGCCUCUUUCUGGACUGAUGGUUUGUAGUAUACUCCAAAGACAAUGCUUUCAGUUUCUGUUUCUGCUAAUCUUUACUCAUCAUUUUUUCCCCAUUCUGAUCCCUUGACUUUUCUCAGAUGAAUCUUUUUAAUAAGUAAUACUCUUGUAACAGGAUCAUGUACAAGGUUCACCUAUUAACUUCCAUCUGGCCCCACCCUGUCCCUGACUCCAUGCUAAAAGCUGGGUGUUUUGAGAUAAGAUGGUAGUCUCCUUUACUUGACAUUGAGCAAGAAGAGCUAAUGACUUAGCCAGUUGGCUUUUAGAAGGGAAUAAGUGACUCCACAUUCAUAUUUUCUUCCCUGCCUGUUUUGAACCCUGUCUGGAUUGUUUUAAGCCUCUUCUCUUAAGGAGGAAGAGAGAAAGAGUUUAGGACAUAUAACCGACUCUUUCAAACUUUGGAUUUAGACCUAAAGGAUGGAUGGGGUCCAUUCCUAGAAGAGCCUAAUCUCUUAUAAGAAGAAUUAGACUAUUUUUCUCAUGUUAUUUGUCUAAUCAAACACCAACACCGAUGUUUAGAUAAACCAUGUGCUUUAUUUGUAAUAUUCCCACGGCCUUGUGGAAAUCAGAUAGAGCAAUCUCACUUAACCCCACCCCUAAACAAAUUGGUUUAUAACAGUAUUGACAAUCUAAAGCAGAAAAGAAAGAAAUUGCUGAGAGUAGGUUCAGAAUCAUCAGUCCUUACUUCUCAGGAGCCAAUAUGGGGAAUGCCUUGUCAUCUCCAGCCAGCCAGAAGAGAAAGGUCAGCCUUGUGACAAGGAAAAUCCACAAGGAGAGGGUCCCCAAAAUCCACAUCUUUCAAAUAAAUUGUCUUCUCUCC